rnacentral:lncRNA from 1 species
AAAACCUGCCAGAGGCUCCAAAUAGCAUCUUUAUCUGCCACUGAUACCUCAAGUACCACUGGGUCUCCUGGAUCAUAUGGUGCUAGUGGUAGAGCAGCUCGUACAACAGUCUGGAUCUCUUGAAAAGCCUCCUGUGCCAGGUCUGACUCGUCUUUCUGGGUCAGUGGUAAACGGGCCGGAGUAACACACCGAAGGGAGGAAAGCUGUGUCUCCAGAAUCCAAAUGGACCUACUAAACAUUGUACUUCCUUCUUGGUGGCAGGAGGGACCAGAUGCAAAAACUUAUCCUUCACCUUGGAAGGAAUAUCUCUAUAUGCCUAUACUACUGAACUCUUAAGGAUUUUAAUGAGGUAGAUGGCCCUUGAAUUUUUGGCUGGAUUUGUUUCCUCUGAUGCACGUAUGUGUUACCAAAAAGUCCAAAGUGGUGUCUACCUACUGCUCUCUUGGUCCAAUCAGCAUAAUAUCAACAAUAUGACGCCACCAGUAUGAUAUUUUGUGGAAGAGACUGAUAAUCGUGAUCCCUUCUGGCUAAGUUGUGACUCAUAUCUGGAAAGUUAAUAUAUUCUUGAGUCAAAACUGGAAAGGUACUACUGCUGGCCUUGCUAACUGAAAGCAAAUUGUUCCUUGUGGUCUUUUAAGUAGAUGUAGAGAAAAGGGCAUUAGUUAGAUCAAUAGCUGCAUACCAUGUACCAGGAGAUGUGUUAAUUUGCUCAAGUAGGGACACCACAUCGGGUACUGCAGCUGCAAUCAGAGUCCCUAUUUGAUUGACUCUUUCAUAGUCAACUGUUAUUCUCCAUGAUCCACCUGUCUUCUGUACUGGCUAGAUAGAAGGGCUAAAAGGAGAUGUGGUGGGAACCCCCACCCCAGCAUCUUUCUAGUCCUUGAUGGUGGCACUAAUUUCUGGAAUUCCUCCAGGGAUGCAAUACUGGUUUGGGGUUACUAUUUUCCCUGGCAGAGGCAACU